rnacentral:rRNA from 1 species
UACAGAGGUCUCAAGCGUUGUUCGGAUUCAUUGGGCGUAAAGGGUGCGUAGGCGGCGCGGUAAGUCGGGUGUGAAAUCUCGGGGCUUAACUCCGAAACCGCAUUCGAUACUGCCGUGCUUGAGGACUGGAGAGGAGACUGGAAUUUACGGUGUAGCGGUGAAAUGCGUAGAUAUCGUAAGGAAGACCAGUGGCGAAGGCGGGUCUCUGGACAGUUCCUGACGCUGAGGCACGAAGGUCAGGGGAGCAAACGGG